CAUGGCAAUUUAAGGAUUGCUAAUUAAGGUUGAUUAGUGGUGUUUCUACCUCAAAGUUCUAGAGGACUGAGCUUAAAUCCUGGCUCUGUUAGGGUCUGUGUGGAGCUUGCACAUUCUUACACUGUCUGUAUUGGUAGCUGUUUUCCUCCCAUAUCCCAAAGACAUGUGUGCUAGGUUGAUUGGUAGCUGUAAAUUGUCCUGGUACGAGUGAAUUUGAGAUAUGCAUGUGUGUGGGGUUUUCAGGGUACAGCAGGUAUAUGUAGGUAUCCAUCAAGUUUUACAUCUGUUUCAAGUAGCACAGGUUUUUGGGGAAUCAGUGCUAUAGGGGAGGCAAUGGGUGCAAGGCAGCAACAAUUUUAUGAGGGACACUAGGCCAUCACAGAUCAUGCUAAUACAAACAUUAAGGGGAAAAUUACAUAACAUGCCUACUUCAGACAGGUGGCACCGCAGCUGGGAACUGAAAUAAGUGCUAAGGGUUAUGUGCUAAACACUGCACAGUAGACUACAAAAAUAAACAAGACAAGAGCAGAAACACUAAAUAAUGCAUGCCUCAAUUAAAGAAGUCCACAUUAUGUGGAAUAAUGUACUAAGUAGGGAGGUAGACAGUUGUAAUUUGGGGACCUUCAAAACGGGACUGAAUAUUUUACCAGUUAGCUGAACAGGAUUGAGGAGCUUUUUAGGUCAAAUUGCCUGAUCUUUUCCAUUAUUGGUUCCCACAUUCUCAAACUGCCACUGAAAAAGUUUUUCAGUGUAAAUACACAGCACUGGCCUUCUUUAAGAUUAACUAAAAAAGAGUGUGUACGUCAUAUUCAUCACAUUUGUGGUUUAA